rnacentral:rRNA from 1 species
GACGAACGCUGGCGGCGUGCCUAAUACAUGCAAGUAGAACGCUGAAGGAGGAGCUUGCUUCUCUGGAUGAGUUGCGAACGGGUGAGUAACGCGUAGGUAACCUGCCUGGUAGCGGGGGAUAACUAUUGGAAACGAUAGCUAAUACCGCAUAAGAGUAGAUGUUGCAUGACAUUUGCUUAAAAGGUGCAAUUGCAUCACUACCAGAUGGACCUGCGUUGUAUUAGCUAGUUGGUGAGGUAACGGCUCACCAAGGCGACGAUACAUAGCCGACCUGAGAGGGUGAUCGGCCACACUGGGACAGAGACACGGCCCAGACUCCUACGGGAGGCAGCAGUAGGGAAUCUUCGGCAAUGGACGAAAGUCUGACCGAGCAACGCCGCGUGAGUGAAGAAGGUUUUCGGAUCGUAAAGCUCUGUUGUAAGAGAAGAACGAGUGUGAGAGUGGAAAGUUCACACUGUGACG